rnacentral:rRNA from 1 species
UACGGAGGGGGGCUAGCGUUAUUCGGAAUUACUGGGCGUAAAGCGCACGUAGGCGGACUGGAAAGUUGGGGGUGAAAGCCCAGGGCUCAACCCUGGAACUGCCUUCAAAACUCCCAGUCUUGAGGUCGAGAGAGGUGAGUGGAAUUCCGAGUGUAGAGGUGAAAUUCGUAGAUAUUCGGAGGAACACCAGUGGCGAAGGCGGGCUCACUGGCUCGAUACUGACGCUGAGGUGCGAAAGCGUGGGGAGCAAACAGG